GCGCCUAUAGCUCAGGGGAUAGAGCGCCGGUCUCCGGAACCGGGUGCGCAGGUUCGAUUCCUGCUAGGCGCA
rfam:Veillonella parvula DSM 2008, complete genome.